UAAGCCUUUUUUUUUUCUGCUGUAAGUGGCGGUAGGGAGGUCGUCUCCCCCUUCUCAGUCAAUGGAUGUCCCUCCCUACCGGCGAGAAUGGUUGUAAAUAGGUUUUGAUGGUGGGCAUCAAAUAGUGAAUGGAGAGGAUUUCUUUCCUUAAGCUGCCCUUGUGAUGUAGUCUUGUGAUCUUUGUUUCUUUGAUUUACCUUGGUUUGGGUUCUCUUUGGUUUUGUUGUUGCAAAUCUUGUGGCGAAAAGGGGUGAAUUUGUUCAUAUCUGUUUUGUUGUGAGUCUCUUUGGCUGCUUGAGCACUGCUAUGGACUAGGCAGGAGAGAGUUUUUUCUGUUGGGUGUGUAAGGAGGCAACAUCCCCAAGGUUUGAAGAGUUAGCUAUCCACCAAAUUGACUAUUAAUGAUAUGAAAAUUAAAAAUGUUUAAUUUCUAUUGAUUGUAAGGCAUAUCGUAUGGUAUGAUAUAUUGAUUGUAAAAUAUAUUUGAUUGUAAGGCAUUUUUAAUAUUUGUAUAUUCUAUCUUUUACCUUUUAUUUGAAUUGAGUGUAUCGUAUCGUGUUUUAUUA
rnacentral:misc_RNA from 1 species